UACGGUAGGGUGCGAGCGUUUGUCCGGAAUUAUUAGGGGCGUGAAAGGCGCGUAGGCGGUCACGCACGUCCGUUGUGAAAUCGCUCGGCUCAACUGGGCGGGGUCAGCGGAUACGGCGUGGCUGGAGGCAAGCUAGGGGGCAAUGGAAUUCCCGGUGUAGUGGUGGAAUGCGUAGAUAUCGGGAGGAACACCAGUGGCGAAGGCGGUUGCCUGGAGCUUUGCUGACGCUGAUGCGCGAAAGCGUGGGGAGCGAGUCCGG
rnacentral:rRNA from 1 species